rnacentral:tRNA from 1 species
GCGGGUGUGGCGGAAUUGGCAGACGCACUAGACUUAGGAUCUAGCGGAGUGAUCUGUGCAGGUUCAAGUCCUGUCACCCGCACCA